rnacentral:rRNA from 1 species
AUUGAACGCUGGCGGCACGCUUAACACAUGCAAGUCGAACGGCAGCACGAGGAGCUUGCUCCUUGGUGGCGAGUGGCGGACGGGUGAGUAAUGCGUAGGAAUCUGCCUUAGAGUUUGGGACAACUCGGGGAAACUCGAGCUAAUACCAAAUACGGUCUCCGGACUAAAGGCGCCUUCGGGUGUCGCUUUAAGAUGAGCCUACGUCAGAUUAGCUUGUUGGUGGGGUAAAGGCCUACCAAGGCGAUGAUCUGUAGCUGGUCUGAGAGGAUGAUCAGCCACACUGGGACUGAGACACGGCCCAG